rnacentral:rRNA from 1 species
AUUGAACGCUGGCGGCAUGCCUUACACAUGCAAGUCGAACGGUAACAGGUCUUCGGAUGCUGACGAGUGGCGAACGGGUGAGUAAUACAUCGGAACGUGCCCGAGAGUGGGGGAUAACGAGGCGAAAGCUUUGCUAAUACCGCAUACGAUCUCAGGAUGAAAGCAGGGGACCGCAAGGCCUUGCGCUCACGGAGCGGCCGAUGGCAGAUUAGGCAGUUGGUGGGAUAAAAGCUUACCAAGCCGACGAUCUGUAGCUGGUCUGAGAGGACGACCAGCCAGACUGGGAGUGAGACACGGCCCAGACUCCUACAGGAGGCAGCAGUGGGGAAUUUUGGACAAGGGGCGCAAGCCGGAUCCAGCCAUGCCGCGUGCAGGAUGAAGGCCUUCGGGUUGUAAACUGCUUUUGUACGGAACGAAAAGACUCCUUCUAAUAAAGGGGGUCCAUGACGGUACCGUAAGAAUAAGCACCGGCUAACUACGUGCCAGCCGCCGCGGUAAGAC